rnacentral:rRNA from 1 species
UAAGGAAUAUUGGUCAAUGGACGCAAGUCUGAACCAGCCAUGCCGCGUGAAGGAUGAAGGUCCUCUGGAUUGUAAACUUCUUUUAUCUGGGACGAAAACGGGAUUUUUAUCUCAAUUGACGGUACCAGAGGAAUAAGCACCGGCUAACUCCGUGCCAGCAGCCGCGGUAAUACGGAGGGUGCGAGCGUUAUCCGGAUUUACUGGGUUUAAAGGGUGCGUAGGUGGGCUUAUAAGUCAGUGGUGAAAUCUCCGAGCUUAACUUGGAAACUGCCGUUGAUACUAUAGGUCUUGAAUUAUCUGGAGGUAAGCGGAAUAUGUCAUGUAGCGGUGAAAUGCUUAGAUAUGACAUAGAACACCAAUUGCGAAGGCAGCUUACUACGCAAUCAUUGACGCUGAGGCACGAAAGCGUGGGGAUCAAACA